rnacentral:rRNA from 1 species
CAGUAGCCACGGGAAUACGAAGGGGGCUAGCGUUGUUCGGAAUCACUGGGCGUAAAGCGCACGUAGGCGGAUACUUAAGUCAGGGGUGAAAUCCCGGGGCUCAACCUCGGAACUGCCUUUGAUACUGGGUAUCUUGAGUCCGGGAGAGGUUGGUGGAACUCCGAGUGUAGAGGUGAAAUUCGUAGAUAUUCGGAAGAACACCAGUGGCGAAGGCGGCCAACUGGCCCGGUACUGACGCUGAGGUGCGAAAGCGUGGGGAGCAAACAGGAUUAGAUACCCCCGUAGUCCCUGUCUCUUAUAU